GGGUAGUUUGACUGGGGCGGUCUCCUCCUAAAGAGUAACGGAGGAGCACGAAGGUUGGCUAAUCCUGGUCGGACAUCAGGAGGUUAGUGCAAUGGCAUAAGCCAGCUUGACUGCGAGCGUGACGGCGCGAGCAGGUGCGAAAGCAGGUCAUAGUGAUCCGGUGGUUCUGAAUGGAAGGGCCAUCGCUCAACGGAUAAAAGGUACUCCGGGGAUAACAGGCUGAUACCGCCCAAGAGUUCAUAUCGACGGCGGUGUUUGGCACCUCGAUGUCGGCUCAUCACAUCCUGGGGCUGAAGUAGGUCCCAAGGGUAUGGCUGUUCGCCAUUUAAAGUGGUACGCGAGCUGGGUUUAGAACGUCGUGAGACAGUUCGGUCCCUAUCUGCCGUGGGCGCUGGAGAACUGAGGGGGGCUGCUCCUAGUACGAGAGGACCGGAGUGGACGCAUCACUGGUGUUCGGGUUGUCAUGCCAAUGGCACUGCCCGGUAGCUAAAUGCGGAAGAGAUAAGUGCUGAAAGCAUCUAAGCACGAAACUUGCCCCGAGAUGAGUUCUCCCUGAGACUUAGAGUCUCCUGAAGGAACGUUGAAGACGACGACGUUGAUAGGCCGGGUGUGUAAGCGCAGCGAUGCGUUGAGCUAACCGGUACUAAUGAACCGUGAGGCUUAACCUUACAACGCCGAAGGUGUUU
rnacentral:rRNA from 1 species